CCUACGGGUGGCAGCAGUGGGGAAUAUUGCACAAUGGGGGAAACCCUGAUGCAGCGACGCCGCGUGUGUGAAGAAGUAAUUCGUUAUGUAAAGCUCUAUCAGCAGGGAAGAAAAUGACGGUACCUGAGUAAGUAGCACCUGCUAACUACGUGCCAGCAGCCGCGGUAAUACGUAGGGGGCAAGCGUUAUCCGGAUUUACUGGGUGGAAAGGGAGCGUAGACGGCAGUGCAAGUCUGGAGUGAAAGGCGGGGGCUCAACCCCCGGACUGCUCUGGAAACUGUACGGCUAGAGUGCAGGAGAGGUAAGUGGAAUUCCUAGUGUAGCGGUGAAAUGCGUAGAGAUUAGGAGGAACACCAGUGGCGAAGGCGGCUUACUGGACUGUAACUGACGUUGAGGCUCGAAAGCGUGGGGAGCAAACAGGAUUAGAUACCCUAGUAGUC
rnacentral:rRNA from 1 species